rnacentral:rRNA from 1 species
AAUUACAAGCGAAAGCAUAAAAUUCAAAGGACUUGACGGUACUUCACAUCAACCUAGAGGAGCCUGUCCUAUAAUCGAUAACCCACGUUUUACCUCACCUACUCUUGCAAAAUCAGCCUGUAUACCGCCGUCGCCAGCCCAUCUAAUGAUAGAAUAAAAAUGGACAAAACUGUAUAACUACAAAAACGUCAGGUCAAGGUGCAGCUAAUGAGUGGGCUGAGAUGGGCUACAUUUUUUAACUUAAAAAACUACUACCAGCUACAUGAAACACUGAGCUACCAAGGUGGAUUUAGCAGUAAAUAUGUGCAAGACAUGCCACAUUGAAACUCGUUCUGAAGUGCGUACACACCGCCGAUUACAAGCGAAAGCAUAAAAUUCAAAGGACUUGACGGUAUUUCACAUCAACCUAGAGGAGCCUGUCCUGUAAUCGAUAAUCCACGUUUUACCUCACCCAUUCUUGCCACGCCAGCCUGUAUACCGCCGUCGCCAGCCCAUCUAAUGAUAGAAUAAAAAUGGACAAAAUUGUACAACCACAAAAACGUCAGGUCAAGGUGCAGCUAAUGAGUGGGCUGAGAUGGGCUACAUUUUUUAAAUUAAAAAAUUACUACAAGCAACAUGAAAUAUUGCGCCUCCAAGGUGGAUUUAGCAGUAAAUUUGUGCAAGAUGUGCCACAUUGAAACCUGUUCUGAAAUGCGUACACACCGCC